GGCGGACGGGUGCGUAACACGUAGGUGACCUGCCCUGGAGUGGGGGAUAACCGCGGGAAACUGCGGCUAAUACCGCAUGAGCUUGUGGAGAUGGGAAUCUCUGUAAGUAAAGUUCAGGCGCUCUGGGAGGGGCCUGCGGCCGAUUAGCUAGUUGGUGGGGUAAAGGCCUACCAAGGCGAUGAUCGGUAGCUGUUCUGAGAGGAAGACCAGCCACACGGGAACUGAGACACGGUCCCG
rnacentral:rRNA from 1 species